rnacentral:rRNA from 1 species
UGCAGUCGAGCGAACAGACGAGGAGCUUGCUCCUCUGACGUUAGCGGCGGACGGGUGAGUAACACGUGGAUAACCUACCUAUAAGACUGGGAUAACUUCGGGAAACCGGAGCUAAUACCGGAUAAUAUAUUGAACCGCAUGGUUCAAUAGUGAAAGACGGUUUUGCUGUCACUUAUAGAUGGAUCCGCGCCGCAUUAGCUAGUUGGUAAGGUAACGGCUUACCAAGGCAACGAUGCGUAGCCGACCUGAGAGGGUGAUCGGCCACACUGGAACUGAGACACGGUCCAGACUCCUACGGGAGGCAGCAGUAGGGAAUCUUCCGCAAUGGGCGAAAGCCUGACGGAGCAACGCCGCGUGAGUGAUGAAGGUCUUCGGAUCGUAAAACUCUGUUAUUAGGGAAGAACAAAUGUGUAAGUAACUAUGCACGUCUUGACGGUACCUAAUCAGAAAGCCACGGCUAACUACGUGCCAGCAGCCGCGGUAAUACGUAGGUGGCAAGCGUUAUCCGGAAUUAUUGGGCGUAAAGCGCGCGUAGGCGGUUUUUUAAGUCUGAUGUGAAAGCCCACGGCUCAACCGUGGAGGGUCAUUGGAAACUGGAAAACUUGAGUGCAGAAGAGGAAAGUGGAAUUCCAUGUGUAGCGGUGAAAUG